UCUCGAUUGGUCUAGUGGUCAGGAUACCUGCUUGUCAUUCGACGUUCAGUCCAAUUCGCAGGUGGCCGGGGUUCGAUUCCCCGAUCGAGAG
rnacentral:tRNA from 1 species